GGUGGCGCAGUGGUAGCGCAGCUGACUGUUAAUCAGCGUGUCGUAGGUUCGAAUCCUACCC
rnacentral:tRNA from 4 species